GACGAACGCUGGCGGCGUGCUUAACACAUGCAAGUCGAACGAUGAAACCUAGCUUGCUAGGUCGAUUAGUGGCGAACGGGUGAGUAACACGUGACUAACCUGCCCCUUUCUCUGGGAUAACGCUUCGAAAGGAGUGCUAAUACCGGAUACUCACAUCGAGGCACAUGCCUUGAUGUGGAAAGUUUUUCGGAAAGGGAUGGAGUCGCGGCCUAUCAGCUUGUUGGUGAGGUAACGGCUCACCAAGGCGACGACGGGUAGCCGGCCGGAGAGGCCGACCGGCCACACUGGGACUGUGACACGGCCCAGACUCCUACGGGAGGCAGCAGUGGGGAAUAUUGCACAAUGGGCGCAAGCCUGAUGCAGCGACGCCGCGUGAGGGAUGAAGGUCUUCGGAUUGUAAACCUCUUUCAGUAGGGACGAAGCGAAAGUGACGGUACCUAAAGAAGAAGCACCGGCUAACUACGUGCCAGCCGCCGCAGUAA
rnacentral:rRNA from 1 species